UAGGAACCGUGAGAUUAAGCCAUCGCGGCAGGUGCUCACGUUAAGCCCACUGACUUUCAUGUCCCUAUCUACUAUCUAGCGAAACCACAGCCAAGGGAACGGGCUUGGAAUAAUUAGCGGGGAAAGAAGACCCUUUUGAGCUUGACUCUAAUCUGGCAGUGUAAGGAGACAUAAGAGGUGUAGAAUAAGUGGGAGAUAUUAGACUUCGGUUUGGUAUCGACAAUGAAAUACCACUACUCUUAUUGUUUCCUUACUUACUUGAUUAAAUGGAACGUGUAUCAUUUCCUAGCCAUUAUACGGAUAUAAUUAUUAUGUCUUAUGGUAUUGGGUUUUGAUGCAAGCUUCUUGAUCAAAGUAUCACGAGUUUGUUAUAUAAUCGCAAACAAAUUCUUUAAUGAGAGAAUGCAUUUAUGUAUUAUUGAUUUAAAAAUUUGGUAUAACUCCAAUUACUCAGGUAUGAUCCAAUUCAAGGACAUUGCCAGGUAGGGAGUUUGACUGGGGCGGUACAUCUCUCAAAUAAUAACGGAGGUGUCCCAAGGCCAGCUCAGUGCGGACAGAAACCACACAUAGAGCAAAAGGGCAAAUGCUGACUUGAUCUCGGUGUUCAGUACACACAGGGACAGCAAAAGCUCGGCCUAUCGAUCCUUUUGGUUUAAAGAGUUUUUAACAAGAGGUGUCAGAAAAGUUACCAUAGGGAUAACUGGCUUGUGGCGGCCAAGCGUUCAUAGCGACGUCGCUUUUUGAUCCUUCGAUGUC
rnacentral:ncRNA from 1 species